AAGGAGGGGUAGGCUCCUCCGUGGCCCGUGGGAGCGCCGCCCCCUGUCGGACGCAGCCCGCAUUACGCGUCGACUCCCGAGUGUGCUAGGUUAACUCUUGGUUUUCUGCCGUGUCUCCGUCUCGGGGUAAACGCUCGACGCUGCGGCAGGUGCGACUUGCGAGGAGGCGGCGUUCCGCCUCCGGCCACCGCCCCCGGCCUCCAAGCCCUUUUACACGAUCCGGGGCCAUCUUGCGUGGAUGUGGCCUUCGUUCAAGAGGACCUGGCCGCUCUAUAAAUGCUGCACGUGCGGCAGGGCGUAUCGGUGGAAGAGCACGCUCAAACGCCACGAGGAGUUCGAAUGCGGGGGCAAAGCCCCGACGCACCCUUGCCCGUACUGCAAUUAUAAAUCGAAGCAGAAGGGCAACCUCGGCGUCCAUAUAAGGAAGCACCACCCCGAACGGUCUAUCCCCGAGCGUAAAUGACAUAAAGUUGUUCCUUUGAAUUUUUUUAAUUUUUUUAUAGUCUUUAUAUUUUAGUCCUUUUGUUUUGCUGUUGUGUAUAGAAUUUGGACUCGGAUAGUUUUUUUAAAUUUUUUCAUAUAGUUAUCAAUGAACUAUUCAAUUUAGGUGUUAAGUAAGAAAAAAAGAAACAAUUAAAGUUUAAUAAGUUACCAGUAAUUUAUUUUUUAUUUUUUUUAAGUUUGACCAAAAAAGGUCAUUGCUGUGGUUCGUUGUGUACUAAAUUGUUCAUUUGUUUGUCUCUAUUACAAACUUAGCUUUCACCGGUAAUGUACUGCAUGUUUUCAAUAGUAUUUAAUAAAAACAAAAGUUCAUAAAAGCUAAAGAAGGCUAUGUCAGUGAUUUUUUGCAGGAUAAUUUUGUGAUAAAUUGAUAAAUCAUGAAUUAUGUGUUAACUCAAAUUUAUUUUUGCCCAGCGCUUAGUCAGUUAAAUAUUUUUUAAUUAUUAUUGAUUAUUUAACUUAUUUAAAAUUUAUUAAUUUUUGUUGCAUCUGUUAAAUUAAUUUUUAGGGGGGGGAUUCUUAAAUAUGCCUACCAGUUUUAUUGUUCGCGUAAAUGAAGAACGAUGGGUGCCAAUUAUUUCUAAAGAAAAUUAAAAGUAAGAGGAUAUUUUUUUACAGUGGUGGUGCUUCCAUGUUCCUAUCCUAUCAAACCCUACGCCUAUUUAUUUAUUUCUAAAUAUUUUAAAGACCAGAGGAUUAUCAAAUUGUCUAUAAUUUUAAUUCUUGGGCACAAAUUUUUGAAUUGUUUUAUUUAUAUGUGCCUUGAAUUAUAUGUGUGCCAAAAUGUGUAAACUAAUAACACGAAAGUUAAAAAAAAAAAGUGUGCAAUGAUGUUUUUAUGGUUUGAUUUUUGUUGUGUUGUUAUUUUAUAAUUUGAACAAAAUUUUUUUUUUAUAUAAAUUCAAAAGAGAUUUUAAUGUAACCAAGAGAUACCAUGAUUUAACUGUGAUUUGUCAUUAAUUAAUUGUAAGUUUUAUUUGCUCAAUUGGAGAAUAAAAACUGUUGCUUUACAAGAAAAAAAAUUCAAAAUUAGAAUUGUGAUUUAAAUAAGAAAUAACCCCCUUUAUCCCUUUGUAUAUACAAAUCUUUUUCCUCUCAAUUGUGGACGAUGUAGUUUGAGAUGUGUUAAUCGAGCUUUUUUCUUUCUGUUCCCGAUUCAGACUGCGACAGGGUCAAACGAGACCACAGCUACGUACAGGAGGCGGCAGUGCGGUGCGGAUUCUGCGGUAAACUAUACAGGCACAGGCGACACUUGAAACGUCACCUGGCGACCGAAUGCGGUCGGGAACCUCAACUUAAAUGCCCGCUCUGCCCUUACAAAUCUAUCAAAAACAACCUGUUAUCGCGACACAUCAAGUUGAAGCAUUCUUAAAAGAAAAAACCUUUAAUCAUUUUAAACUAGGCGAAAAGGUAACUAUAACAUUUUUACAAUUAUUUGUAUGAUUCGUUUUGAACUGAUACUCUUCCGUUUUGUUUUCAGGCUUGGAGAGAAUCUAUAAAGGGAAUAUUUUCGCCAAAAUAAGGGCAUUUGAUCCAAAAGGAUGGCUUUGAUUUUAAACGUGGAAAGUUACAUUUCACGCAAGUCGAACAGUUCAUUAUUUUAAGUCAUUUGAAAAGCUUAAAGUUAUAUUCGGGGGCGUCGGUGGCCACAACAGUUUUGGUGUUGACACGGCGCUCAUCACUAAACGAACCAGAUGAUGAUAUUAAAGCGGUCCACUUGGAGGAAGGUGGUGAGGAUGCGGAUGCUGAAACACAAAAACGAGGAAGGGUUUUUCAAGUGUGAAGGCUGCGGCACCAUCGUCGGCCGGUGGAUCUCGCUUUUCCGCCACUUCGAACACGAGUGUCCCAUCACCUGCCACAGCCACGACUGCCCGUACUGCAAGUUCAAGACCAACUAUAAACGUCCUUUUGUUGAACACAUGCUUAAACACCGGCCUCAAAUGCUGACCCAAAAUUAGCUUGUCGAGGACGAGAAUGAAAGGUCUGUAGUGAAAAAUCUAAUUGCGAUACCAACACAGUGUAAUCGUUUUUUGUUUUUUUUUACUCACAAGGGAGAAAUUUCCACGUAUUUUAAUAAAGAAAAAAAGUAGGAAAUCUUUUUUUUGUGUAUUGAAAUAUUUAUAUUAUACAUAUAGAUGUCCAUUUGAUACAAUGUUUGUUCAAUUGUAAAUUGUAAUUUUAUAUCUUUCUCAAAAAUUUUGAGGAGCUUUUUAGCUUUUUUGUCGACCUGACUGGCAUUUGAAUUGAAAGAAAGUUAAUUUAUUUUUACCUUUAAAAAAUUUGACGUGUUUUGGUUCAAAUUUUUAUGUGAUAAAUGGUGACGUGUCUCAAUUUUGGAUAAGAUAUAAAAUACAUUAGGGUUUAAUUUAUUUCUACAUUUUUACUCGUACUAUAAACCUUUUUUUUACAUUUCUUCAAAUUUUAUAGGUUUUGGGAUUAAAAAAAAGCCAAAGGAUUCAUGUCCAAGAGAUUUUUACAUCUUAAAAAUGUCACAAAAUCUAGGACAAUGGAUGUUCAAUAUCACAAAAAAAAAAAAAAAAUGAUUGUUGAUUCUAUAAUAUUCUUUCCUCAGUUUGUAAUGGCUGUAAUUUUUUGUUCAAUCAUUAGUGUUCUUUCCCUUUUGCAAUUUUUUCGUAAAAUGUUUGUUACAACAAUAAGACGUAUAGUUUAGGAUAUUUAUAUAUUACUUUGUUGUAAAUAAUGUUUACAGAGUUAAUAGGAUAAAUGGACUUGUAAAUAACCAGCUGACGUGUGGAAAAAAUAAUCGGCUGAAAAAAGUAAGACGUAUCAUCAUUCCUGAGUUUCAAGUAAGCCUUUUAAAAUUGAAAUGUCUUGAUACGUUAAUUUUAAGUAAAUUUUCAAAAUUGUAUUUUUUUUUUUCUAAACCUUUGUAUAUAAGUGUAAAUAAACUGUUUGAACUCUU